GCGAGUCUUUGCAGUAAUGCAAGGCAUACGGCUCAGUAACACGUAGUCAACUUACCCUAUGGACGAGGAUAAUCUCGGGAAACUGAGCAUAAUACUCGAUAGAUCAUAAUGCCUGGAAUGGUUUAUGGUUGAAAUGAUUCGUCGCCAUAGGAUGGGACUGCGGCCUAUCAGCUUGUUGGUGAGGUAAUGGCCCACCAAGGCGAUUACAGGUACGGGCUCUGAGAGGAGAGGCCCGGAGAUGGGUACUGAGACAAGGACCCAGGCCCUAUGGGGCGCAGCAGGCGAGAAAACUUUGCAAUGUGCGAAAGCACGACAAGGUUAAUCCGAGUGAUUUCUGCUAAAGGAAUCUUUUGCCAGUUCUAAAAAUACUAGUGAAUAAGGGGUGGGCAAGUUCUGGUGUCAGCCGCCGCGGUAAAACCAGCACCUCAAGUGGUCAGGAGGAUUAUUGGGCCUAAAGCAUCCGUAGCCUGCUCUGUAAGUUUUCGGUUAAAUCUAUAUGCUCAACGUAUAGGCUGCCGAAAAUACUGCAGUGCUAGGAAGUGGGAGAGGUAGACGGUACUUGAUAGGAAGGGGUAAAAUCCUUUGAUCUAUCGAUGACCACCUGUGGCGAAGGCGGUCUACCAGAACACGUUCGACGGUGAGGGAUGAAAGCUGGGGGAGCAAACCGGAUUAGAUACCCGGGUAGUCCCAGCUGUAAACGAUGCAGACUCGAUGAUGCAUUGGCAUAUAGCCAGUGCAGUGUCGCAGGGAAGCCGUUAAGUCUGCCGCCUGGGAAGUACGUACGCAAGUAUGAAACUUAAAGGA
rnacentral:rRNA from 1 species